CUGAAGAACCAAAAGGAAUGGAUUCAUAAGAUUUGGCUGGUAGCUUUUUGGGAUAGAGCUAACAAAGUUUGAGAAGGACAAUGGCAUUGACCAACGUACAAGGUGACAGGGAAAAAAAGGUGAUGACCGAUUUCCAGAGAUUCCUGAAAAAUUGAAAAACAAAAUGGUGACAGAAAGAUACGCUAUGCACCUUUCAAAAACAUUUCCAGCACAACAUCUCAUUACAUUUGGUGUUUGUCUUGGUUUAAGUGACGUAGACAUUUCACAUGUCAAAGCCGACAAUAUGCAAUAUGGAGUAUCUACUGUCAUCUGGAGACUUAUUACCGUAUGGAAAAAUAGGAAUGGUCGUUCAGCGACACUUGAAAAAUUACACAACUUGUUUCAGAACAAUUCAGAUAGCAUUGAGCUUAAUCCUGAAGCAUAUGCUAAAGCACUAGAUAAGAUCAUAAAGUCAUGAAAUCCUAUUAUUUAUCUAAUCUUCAUGAUGUUAAUUAACCACCAAAUGCUCGCCUGCUCAAACUUUCAAAAAUUUGUUUGUAAAAAUGUAGAGUUCAAAACAGGUUAAAAGUCUAAAAAAAAACCAGAAAUCAUAUUUUGAUUUUAACUUCACUUCAUCAAUAUGUAACUCCACAGGAACCUCUAUGCAAAAUACCAGCAUCCUAGUACACAUAUUUAAUGAAUGACAAGCGUCUAAAUAAAGUCAUGGAGGAAAGGAAGACUUUUUGCAGAAUAGGGAAAUUUCUACCCAACUUAAGGCAUGUGGAGGAUUCUGGCCUGAUUUGGAAUUCCCAAAAUGUUGUUUUAAUUUCUUUCACUCCUGGACAUGAAAGCAUAUUUUUCUCAUUCCAACGGCCAUUAUUAGCUCAGAAACAUUUUAAAUGCAUUUUGACUGGCUAUUUGAAAAAAAAGGAAAAUAUGUACUUUUCCCCAAUAUUUUUUCUCAGAAAAGCAAACCUGCGAGAAAGAUAUCGGAUACCUGCGUUCAUCAACAGCUUUUGUUAAUCAAUAGACAACUGUUGUACAAGAAAAAGACUUUUACCAGGAAUUCUGAACCUACACAUAUAGUGUUUGGUUAGCUUGUUGUUUUUAUUUUACAUUAACACUAUUUUUAAUCUAUUAAUGCAUGUAUGAAGCAGACCAGACUGAAGUAAGGGAUUUCUGCCAACAGUUAUUGUUUAUAUGACAAUUUCAUGAAUUUUGCUUGGCGCAUAGCAUGAUUUGGCCGAUGGAAUUGUCCUCAAUUUUACUCAAUUCUUAUUGUGAACUUAUGCUUAGAAAGCCAAAAACCAAGGUACUGAGUACAAUGUAUUUGGUAGCUGAGAAAUCUUUUGAGUGGGACCACAUAUCGGAGGAAUUUUUAAUUGGCCUCUGUUUUUGUAAAAUAUUAAUUAUGUCAAAGACAGAAAGCAAUUACAUGUAUAUAUGAUCUCUGAACAAGAAGCACUAAGGGUCUUUAUUGAUCUCCUAAUUUUUCAGUGGUGGUGGCAAAAAUAUACUGAAUGUUAUGCCAAAAUGAAUAAACCUCAUAAAAGGCACAGCG